UAGGGAAUCUUCGGCAAUGGACGAAAGUCUGACCGAGCAACGCCGCGGGAGUGAAGAAGGUUUUCGGAUCGUAAAACUCUGUUGUUAGAGAAGAACAAGGACGUUAGUAACUGAACGUCCCCUGACGGUAUCUAACCAGAAAGCCACGGCUAACUACGUGCCAGCAGCCGCGGUAAUACGUAGGUGGCAAGCGUUGUCCGGAUUUAUUGGGCGUAAAGCGAGCGCAGGCGGUUUCUUAAGUCUGAUGUGAAAGCCCCCGGCUCAACCGGGGAGGGUCAUUGGAAACUGGGAGACUUGAGUGCAGAAGAGGAGAGUGGAAUUCCAUGUGUAGCGGUGAAAUGCGUAGAUAUAUGGAGGAACACCAGUGGCGAAGGCGGCUCUCUGGUCUGUAACUGACGCUGAGGCUCGAAAGCGUGGGGAGCAAACAGG
rnacentral:rRNA from 1 species